UACAGAGGGUGCGAGCGUUGUCCGGAAUCACUGGGCGUAAAGGGCGCGUAGGCGGUCUCUUAAGCGUGUGGUGAAAGCCCGGGGCUCAACUCCGGGUCGGCCGUGCGAACUGGGGGACUGGAGCUUGUCAGAGGCAGGCGGAAUUCCGGGUGUAGCGGUGGAAUGCGUAGAGAUCCGGAAGAACACCGGAGGCGAAGGCGGCUUGCUGGACCUGGUCUGACGCUGAGGCGCGAAAGCGUGGGGAGCGAACAGG
rnacentral:rRNA from 1 species